rnacentral:rRNA from 1 species
GGUUAAGCGACUAAGCGUACACGGUGGAUGCCUAGGCAAUCAGAGGCGAUGAAGGACGUGCUAAUCUGCGAUAAGCGUCGGUAAGGUGAUAUGAACCGUUACAACCGACGAUUUCCGAAUGGGGAAACCCAGUGCAAUUCGUUGCACUAUCGUUUGAUGAAUACAUAGUCAAACGAAGCGAACCGGGGGAACUGAAACAUCUCAGUACCCCGAGGAAAAGAAAUCAACCGAGAUUCCCCUAGUAGCGGCGAGCGAACGGGGAGCAGCCCAGAGUCUUAAUCAGCAUU